GAGUUUGAUCUUGGCUCAGGACGAACGCUGGCGGCGCGCUUAACACAUGCAAGUCGAACGUGAAGCCGGGGCUUGCCCCGGUGGAAAGUGGCGAACGGGUGCGUAACACGUGAGCAACCUGCCCCGAAGACUGGGAUAACACCGGGAAACCGGUGCUAAUACCGGAUACCCUCUUUUGAUCGCAUGGUCGGAUGAGGAAAUGGAUUCCGCUUCGGGAUGGGCUCGCGGCCUAUCAGCUUGUUGGUGAGGUAACGGCCCACCAAGGCGACGACGGGUAGCUGGUCUGAGAGGACGACCAGCCGCACUGGGACUGAGACACGGCCCAGACUCCUACGGGAGGCAGCAGUGGGGAAUCUUGCUCAAUGGGCGAAAGCCUGAAGCAGCGACGCCGCGUGCGGGAUGAAGGCC
rnacentral:rRNA from 1 species